ensembl:lncRNA
AGAAAUAGCUCUGGGAUCUGCGACGUACACUGCAUUUUCUGGCAGGCAGAAAUCAGGAGUUUUUCAUAAAUGUGCAAAAGGAAGCUGGGGCUUAAGGAGACCCUUCUAAUAGCGGGUGUGGGAGCAGAGGACCUCUCUCUUUCCAUACUGCUAAUUUCAAGCUGUACUUUCUUCUCAGAAUUGUUUCUGUACUCUUCAGUGAGACACCAUGGACUAAGUUCAGCAACAAGAAACAUGGAAGAGCUGGUCCCUAGCUGGGUACAUCUCUUUGAUAUUACAGAGGUACAGGAUGCUCUAACACCAUCUCACUUCAAACUAGAGACCUGCCAUAGUAUCUUAUCUUCUACUGUCACCCUGACUCCAGUGCCAUAAAGAAACCAAUACUGUUUACUGGCAUACUGCACAGGUAGCUCCAUCUUUCAUGAGCUGAAAUCUGCCCUCUUCUCACUGUAUGAGAAGCUACAAGAUGUCCUUUGGACUCUCACCCAAGCAUGACCAGCUGCACAAGCAAGUCUGUGUUGUAAAGGUAACUGACAUCAGGAACAGAACAACCUCUAGAGAAGUAUUUGGCACAGAACACAUAAAACUAUGCUUUGCCUGGCUACUAUCAUCAGCGAGAAUCUCUGUCACCAUAGACAUAAUAAUCGGAAAGCUAUGACUGCGGCAAAAAUUAGUAAUAACAUCCAAUAUGCUAAGUAAGUUCCUUUUAGUGGUGUACCUGAGUUGUGCAAACAGGGAUAAAAUAAAACUCAUUUUCACCUUU